rnacentral:rRNA from 1 species
GAGUUUGAUCUUGGCUCAGAUUGAACGCUGGCGGCAGGCCUAACACAUGCAAGUCGAGCGGUAGAGAGAAGCUUGCUUCUCUUGAGAGCGGCGGACGGGUGAGUAAUGCCUAGGAAUCUGCCUGGUAGUGGGGGAUAACGCUCGGAAACGGACGCUAAUACCGCAUACGUCCUACGGGAGAAAGCAGGGGACCUUCGGGCCUUGCGCUAUCAGAUGAGCCUAGGUCGGAUUAGCUAGUUGGUGAGGUAAUGGCUCACCAAGGCGACGAUCCGUAACUGGUCUGAGAGGAUGAUCAGUCACACUGGAACUGAGACACGGUCCAGACUCCUACGGGAGGCAGCAGUGGGGAAUAUUGGACAAUGGGCGAAAGCCUGAUCCAGCCAUGCCGCGUGUGUGAAGAAGGUCUUCGGAUUGUAAAGCACUUUAAGUUGGGUAGGAAGGGCAGUAAAUUAAUACUUUG